UCACUCCUCUUGGAGCCCUUCUGUGAGCCCAGGACACGGGUGUGAAGAUUUCCCACAAGGAGCAUUUCUGAGACCAUCUAUAGCAGUGAUUGAGGGGUCUAGAGGAAUAAAAGAGCCCUGCAAGUAUAAGAUGAAUUAUAAGAUACUCAAACCCACUUUCAUGAAAGAGUGAUUGGUGUGCACUGGCUUUACACAAAAGGGAGAAAAAUAAGAGAGAGAAGGACCGAAGGCUCUCUUGUGCUUUUUUCUUCAGCAGCUUCAAAGCUGUUCCUGGUGAGUGAUUUACUGAGUUGGCAACACUUGAAAUGUCCCAGCAGAGAAGCAAGGACUUGUUGAGUUGCAGAAAGCAGAACCAUUGUUUAAAGUAUAUAACGGGAAAUCUUUGGUGAGGUGAGGUGUGGAGUCCUCAUAGAGCCUCCUGAUGGGCAUGAGAAGGAGAGACCUUGUAUGGUGUGCAAAGGGAAAGAUUAUUUCCUGUCCAUAGUCAUGGAGAGAAGAUAAAGAACAGCUUAUCUGUUUGAG
rnacentral:lncRNA from 1 species